AUCGUCCGUGCGCAGCGUCUGUUUUCCCCCAGCUUCUCAAAAUCCUCCAGCCCGCUUUCCAUCUCUGUGGCUUCUCCUGAAGGACUGAAGCACCCAUCCCCCUGCGACUAUUAACAGCUGCCGUUUCACCCGCCACCCCUUCCGAAAAUACAGCCUCUCGUUCCCAUUUCACCGUGGCUUCGGACGUGAGCUCUGUUUCGAGCAGGGGGAAAAUCAGCGCGCGACAACAAGGGUUGAUUAUGUCUGCAAAUAGUGAUGCAUCGAGUGGCCGUCCAUUAUGUCGCUGUGAAAUUGUUGCGUUCGUAAGGUAUUCCUGGACAAAUGAUAAUUACAGCAGAAAGUGGUAUGGGUGCGAAAAGUAUAAGCAAGUUGGUGAUUGUGGCUUCUUUCUUUGGGCUGACAACGAGAUGACAGCUUACAAAAAAAGAAUCAUGCAACGCUUGAAGGACACAAAAGAGCAAACCCGGGCAGAAAUUGGUAGACUGGAAAAAAUUGUUGGCUACCGUACAAGCACUGUAUAGAGCACAUCUAGAAAACAUGUUUCAGUCUAGGGAUGAGAUGUGGAAAUCUAUGGUAGUGAAUAACCAGUCUAGAGAGGUCAAGUUUCAGUUAAAGCAAAUGACGUAUUAGGCAGUGUUGGCUUUGCUUUUCUUGCUGGUGUUCCUUUAUGUUGGCGGUUACAACGCAUCUAGUAGUAACAAGUUGAUGUUAAAAUGAACUAUGUCCCUCUAAAUUGUAGAUACUUAACCGUUGUAAUUUAUAUUAGUUUGUGUUUUGUAUUAAUUGUGCUACUCCUUUUACGCAAUCAUUGUAAUUUAUAUCCGCUUGUUCUUCAUAUACAACGUAUGGACCUUAUUUGUGCAGAGCUGGGACAGAUACUCUUUUUUUCAGAGUAAUUCCAAUAUUAACAUAAAACACUUUUUAAUUUUAA